AGGACGCCGCGCCUGCACCUCGCCUCUCAGGAUGCCAGCCGACUCCAAGCAAGGUCGAAGGCAAGGCCGCAGGGCGGCUCCAGGCGCCAAGGAAGGGCGCGAAGGAAGCAAGGGCAGAGGGCACGAGGACGGAUAAAAUGUGAGCUGCAGGACAAAAAGGCCACGAAUAUCAAAUGUGAAACACACCCGGUCCCUGGAGCCACUGUGAGGCCUUCUUGUCACCUAAUAUGACAUCCUGAGUGUCCAUGAAAGCUGCUCUAGAUCAAAAGAGAAAAAUGGCAACCAUGACUAUCUAACCAAGAGAGAGUUAUAGAACCGAGAACCUUAGGGUUCAGAUACAAGCCAGAAAAGGAUGCUCU